ensembl:lncRNA
UGUGUGUGAAGACACCUGCCACAGCGCCAUAUAGGGGCUGAGACCUUCCCUUAAAUGUGAGUGAGCUGGAAAGCAAGUCCAUGGACUGAGGAGAUGAAUAACAUUGGAGAGGAGCAGAUCAGACAUAACUCAAGUCCAGACAGAGAUCACAAAUCGUGUCACUGAUCUGUAUACAGCCCUCAAGAACACUGCUUCACCGUGGACCCAAGAUGCUAGUUUUGAAACCCAAAGCUGAGAGGCGAUCACUUUUUUCCACGGAUGCAGGUACCCAAC